rnacentral:misc_RNA from 1 species
UGUCUUUAAGAUGCUUAUUAAUAUAAU